GACGAACGCUGGCGGCGUGCUUAACACAUGCAAGUCGAACGGAAAGGCCCUGCUUUUGUGGGGUGCUCGAGUGGCGAACGGGUGAGUAACACGUGAGUAACCUGCCCUUGACUUUGGGAUAACUUCAGGAAACUGGGGCUAAUACCGGAUAGGAGCUCCUGCUGCAUGGGGGGGGUUGGAAAGUUUCGGCGGUUGGGGAUGGACUCGAGGCUUAUCAGCUUGUUGGUGGGGUAGUGGCUUACCAAGGCUUUGACGGGUAGCCGGCCUGAGAGGGUGACCGGCCACAUUGGGACUGAGAUACGGCCCAGACUCCUACGGGAGGCAGCAGUGGGGAAUAUUGCACAAUGGGCGGAAGCCUGAUGCAGCAACGCCGCGUGCGUGAUGACGGCCUUCGGGUUGUAAACCGCUUUCGCCUGUGACGAAGCGUGAGUGACGGUAAUGGGUAAAGAAGCACCGGCUAACUACGUG
rnacentral:rRNA from 1 species